AGCUCCUUGAAAUGCAAUCAUCUCCCAGUGUCUGCGGGAAAGUGGGAGCCUAACUUCAGUGGCAACCUCACUCUUGAAAAGCAAAACUAUCUCUUGUUAUAAAGAUAGGGUGACUUCAUUUUUCCUUUGCGUAAAGCCAAUGAGCUAACAGAUGGUCACCCUCAUUACUAGAUGAAUUUAGGUUGAAUGUGUGACCAAUGACGAAGUCAAUACUUGAGGACUAGUUAUUGGUUAUCUCAGAACAUCUACAUGGGUUGUAUCUGCUUGCUUAUAUAAAAAGAUAAAAUUUCUUUUUGGCAGUGAGAUCUCUGAGCAGAUGCUUGCGAUGUGUAUUUGCAUUUUAGUUUAAUGUUUAUUCAAUAAUAGAACUGUUUUCUCUUUCUUCUACCUUUGUGGAUAACUUUUCUGGGUUGGGAGAAGAUUUUGGUUUAAUUAUAUUUCCCUAACAAGAUAUAGCUCAUGAAAAACACAGAUUAAUUAUGAAAAGAAAACAAUGUACUAAAAUAGUUUUAAGCUUUGAUUAAUGAGAAAUGUGUUAGACUCAGUCCCAUGGCAACUAAAACAAUGGAGUGGAGAGACAGAGAUUUAGAGAACUGAACAGUCUGGAAAUGGGGAAUUCAGAAUUAUACUCUCGGUUUUACCACUUCAGUGUUUGUGUUUAAUUUUCUGAGGACUCAUUUCUGUCAUUUGUAUAAUGAAGAUUUUGCUCUUCAUGCGUGUGAAAAAAUAUUUUCAAGAUCAGAGAAAUUAAAAGACAAAUACAAAUGCAACAACAACAAGAAAUUGCUUCCAAAUUCUUCCAAAUCCUCAGGUGACUCUGUAUAUUCCUUGCUACAUAGCUGUACUCCCCUGGCUUUACACACAUUUCAGUUUGAGAAAUACACUAUACCAAGUGUUUUCCUUUCUUACUGAGGUUAGCUUAGACUCUCUGGGCCAUUCUUUUUCAUUUGUUCAUUCAUUUGUUAAUUCAUUCAACCCACAUCGGACUGAGGGAGCCUAGUUAACGCUGUAAAGAAACUUGACUUCACACUCUAGCUGAAGGAAAUGGCUGAUUCAGUUCGCUUCUCUUUACAUAGGCUGAGUUUUCCCC
rnacentral:lncRNA from 12 species